GUUGUGUGUAGCAACAACGUUUAGUUCACGAGUUAUUGAACGCGGAAGUCCGCGAAUGUGCGAAUAUAAAACCAACUUUACCUAAGUAACCUAUCCUGGCAAGCGGGACAGAAAUUAUUAGUUCUCUGGAACCUUAUUGUCCGAGUCAUUCGUUAUUUUGUCACGUUACAGCCGUAUGUGCAUAGCGUAUACGGCUGUCACGUUACAAAUGAACGAACGACUUGGACCAGAAGACUCGAGUUCAGUUUUGCCAAUUUAGCGACUCGCUAGAUUAAGAGACUUUUCAUACAUCUUUAGCGACUUUUUUAUUAAAAAGCGUUUGGCGACAAACCUUAGCUACAUUACGCUACAACUUUUGUUGAUUUGUCCAAUAGAGAGACUACCACAUACCUGCUGACAUGAUCAGCCAUGAGGUUGCUAAGAAAGGCCAGGACAUCCUGAGCGAGGUGCAAUACCGUACACACCUGCACCAGUGGACAUGCCACCCUGAACAGAAUGAUAUCAUCCGUGUCCACAAGGUUAAUGAGAUCUUGAAUGAUGUAUUUUACAAAGAUUACCUUAACUGGAUGAAAGGUGAUGGCUGUUAUAGCUGGGAUACUCCUGAGAUUGUGCGAGCCAAGAAGUCAUAUGAGCUACAAAGUGAGAUCAAGUACAAAGCCGAAGGGAAGAAGGAAAUGAACAACUGCUCCAUCGUGACAGACACCCCUGUAUAUGUGACUGCCAUCGUGGGCCACACUUGGGCUAGUGAGGUUUCU